UUCAAUAGCAACACGGGUAAU
ensembl:piRNA 21ur-6243 ncRNA